rnacentral:rRNA from 1 species
ACGACGCUGGCGGCGUGCCUAACACAUGCAAGUCGAGCGAGGAGAUCCUUCGGGAUGAUCCUAGCGGCGGACGGGUGAGUAACACGUGGGCAACCUGCCUCAUAGAGAGGAAUAGCCUUCCGAAAGGGAGAUUAAUACCUCAUAACAUUGCAGUUUCGCAUGGAACAGCAAUUAAAGGAGUAAUCCGCUAUGAGAUGGGCCCGCGGCGCAUUAGCUAGUUGGUGAGGUAACGGCUCACCAAGGCGACGAUGCGUAGCCGACCUGAGAGGGUGAUCGGCCACAUUGGGACUGAGACACGGCCCAGACCCCUACGGGAGGCAGCAGUGGGGAAUAUUGCACAAUGGGGGAAACCCUGAUGCCAGCAACGCCGCGUGAGUGAUGACGGCCUUCGGGUUGUAAAGCUCUGUCUUCAGGGACGAUAAUGACGGUACCUGAGGAGGAAGCCACGGCUAACUACGUGCCAGCCGCGGC